UCUGUUUUAUUUUUUCCUCUAGAUCCAGAUGCAGAUCAAAGCAGCCGACAGACAAUCCCAAGAGAUGCUAAUGCUUCACUGUGUGUACCAGGUCCGACCUGGAUCAAGAAUGUUUCCUAAUGGAAGUACAGAGUUAAAAGGUAAUCUCACUAUGCAUUUAUAAGGACAACAGAGCAAAUGAUAUUAAGUUGUAGUACAAGAAAAGGCAAAAUUAAUCUAAAUUGAC
rnacentral:lncRNA from 1 species